rnacentral:rRNA from 1 species
CCAGAGAACUUAGCAGAGAUGCUUUGGUGCCUUCGGGAACUCUGAGACAGGUGCUGCAUGGCUGGUCGUCAGCUCGUGUUGUGAAAGUGUUGGGUUAAGUCCCGCAACGAGCGCAACCCUUAUCCUUUGUUGCCAGCGGUUCGGCCGGGAACUCAAAGGAGACUGCCGGUGAUAAACCGGAGGAAGGUGGGGAUGACGUCAAGUCAUCAUGGCCCUUACGGCCAGGGCUACACACGUGCUACAAUGGCGCAUACAAAGAGAAGCGACCUCGCGAGAGCAAGCGGACCUCAUAAAGUGCGUCGUAGUCCGGAUUGGAGUCUGCAGCUCGACUCCAUGAAGUCGGAAUCGCUAGUAAUCGUAGAUCAGAAUGCUACGGUGAAUACGUUCCCGGGCCUUGUACACACCGCCCGUCACACCAUGGGAGUGGGUUGCAAAAGAAGUAGGUAGCUUAACCUUCGGGGAGGGCGCUUACCACUUUGUGAUUCAUGACUGGGGUGAAGUCGUAACAAGGUAAGCGUAGCGAG